GAUGAACGCUAGCGGCAGGCUUAAUACAUGCAAGUCGAGGGGCAGCGGGAGUAGCAAUACUUGCCGGCGACCGGCGCACGGGUGCGUAACACGUAUGUAAUCUGCCCAUCACAGGAGGAUAGCCCGGAGAAAUUCGGAUUAAUACUCCAUAAUAAAUUGAGUGGCAUCACUUGAUUUUGAAAGUUCCGACGGUGAUGGAUGAACAUGCGACUGAUUAGUUAGUUGGUGAGGUAACGGCUCACCAAGACCACGAUCAGUAGGGGUACUGAGAGGUUAAACCCCCACACUGGUACUGAGACACGGACCAGACUCCUACGGGAGGCAGCAGUAAGGAAUAUUGGACAAUGGCCGCAAGGCUGAUCCAGCCAUGCCGCGUGCAGGAAGACGGACCUAUGGUUUGUAAACUGCUUUUGAACUAGAGAAAACCCCUUUACGUGUAAAGGGCUGAUAGUAUAGUUAGAAUAAGCAUCGGCUAACUUCGUGCCAGCAGCCGCGGUAACAC
rnacentral:rRNA from 1 species